AAUUCUCAACUUCAAUGACUUUAUUGAAGAUUGGACUUUGGAGGUUAUUGCAGGCUUUAAUGUCAGCUCCUCUUAAAUGCAUUAGCGGAACUAUAAAAAGGACCAGCUCUGGUUUGAUAAAUGAAUAUCUAUGCCGUUGCUGUGACCAUUAUUAUAAUGUUCAGCUUACAAUCGUCUUAGGACUGUCUCUUUAUGAGGCAAUACAAAUUUUUAA
rnacentral:misc_RNA from 1 species